UACGAAGGGGGCUAGCGUUGCUCGGAAUUACUGGGCGUAAAGCGCGCGCAGGCGGUUUUCCAAGUCAGUGGUGAAAGCCCGGAGCUCAACUCCGGAAUUGCCAUUGAAACUGUUAAACUUGAGGACGAGAGAGGUGAGUGGAAUUCCCAGUGUAGAGGUGAAAUUCGUAGAUAUUGGGAAGAACACCGGUGGCGAAGGCGGCUCACUGGCUCGUUUCUGACGCUCAGGCGCGAUAGCGUGGGGAUCAAACAGG
rnacentral:rRNA from 1 species